rnacentral:rRNA from 1 species
UACGGGGGGAGCAAGCGUUGUUCGGAUUUACUGGGCGUAAAGGGCGCGUAGGCGGUCAGCACAAGUCAGUUGUGAAAUCUCCGGGCUUAACUCGGAAAGGUCAACUGAUACUGUGCGACUAGAGUGCAGAAGGGGCAACUGGAAUUCUCGGUGUAGCGGUGAAAUGCGUAGAUAUCGAGAGGAACACCUGCGGCGAAGGCGGGUUGCUGGGCUGACACUGACGCUGAGGCGCGAAAGCCAGGGGAGGCGAACGGG